rnacentral:lncRNA from 1 species
UUGUAUUACACUUUGAACUAACCUAGAGGCCGUGCUUAGGCGAAAAUCGAUAUCAGUGAAGUAAUCCCGGAACUCUAGAAAUCGUGAAGAAUUUAUUCCAUUCCAUUUUGUUAAAUAUCGCGAAUAUAGUGGAAAAAACUCUAGAACAUUCCUUUGAAUGGAAUUGUUCAUUGGGUUCGACUUGUUGUUCGACAAAAUAGAAAGCUGUCUCUCGUAUGUUAUUGUAAGGUGAUUCAUUCAUAAUAUUUCUUAUGUGCGGUUUCAAGAUGCUAAAAAAGUAGAUUUGGUAAUCGGCUUUUGAGCUCCAUUAUGUGGACUUCAUCAAUUUGUGAAUUAUGGACUUGGCGGUAGUG